GAUGAACGCUGGCGGCGUGCCUAAUACAUGCAAGUAGAACGCUGAAGGAGGAGCUUGCUCUUCUGGAUGAGUUGCGAACGGGUGAGUAACGCGUAGGUAACCUGCCUGGUAGCGGGGGAUAACUAUUGGAAACGAUAGCUAAUACCGCAUAACAGUAGAUAUUGCAUGAUAUCUGCUUGAAAGGUGCAAUUGCAUCACUACCAGAUGGACCUGCGUUGUAUUAGCUAGUUGGUGAGGUAACGGCUCACCAAGGCGACGAUACAUAGCCGACCUGAGAGGGUGAUCGGCCACACUGGGACUGAGACACGGCCCAGACUCCUACGGGAGGCAGCAGUAGGGAAUCUUCGGCAAUGGACGGAAGUCUGACCGAGCAACGCCGCGUGAGUGAAGAAGGUUUUCGGAUCGUAAAGCUCUGUUGUAAGAGAAGAACGAGUGUGAGAGUGGAAAGUUCACA
rnacentral:rRNA from 1 species